CCCAUGGCGUGCAAAACCCCACGCGCGUGGAAGUUAUAACCGCUUGGAUCUACAUGCGUGCGGUUCACGCGCUAGGG
rnacentral:pre_miRNA from 1 species